rnacentral:rRNA from 1 species
GGAAUAUUGCGCAAUGGCCGAAAGGCUGACGCAGCGACGCCGCGUGUGGGAGGAAGCCCUUCGGGGUGUAAACCACUGUCAGGGGGGACGAAUCGCGGACGGGCAAAUAGCCCGGACGUUUGACGGUACCUCCAAAGGAAGCACCGGCUAACUCCGUGCCCGCAGCCGCGGUAAGACGGAGGGUGCGAGCGUUGUUCGGAAUUACUGGGCGUAAAGCGCGGGCAGGUGGUUCUUUAAGUCCUUUGUGAAAUUCCGGGGCUCAACUCCGGAUGUGCAGAGGAUACUGGAGAACUGGAGACUGGUAGAGGCGAGCGGAAUUCCUGGUGUAGCGGUGGAAUGCGUAGAUAUCAGGAAGAACACCGGUGGCGAAGGCGGCUCGCUGGGCCAGUUCUGACACUCAUCCGCGAAAGCGUGGGGAGCAAAC